GAAUGAAAAGAUGCCAUCUAGUCUACGCCUCAGCCAUUGUAUUUCGCCGUUGUUUCUAUUCAGUGGUGUGCUGUAACUCAGUAAUUUCGUCGAUUUUAAUGAACGCAGAUUUUAGCCAUCCAGCUGAAUUUAUCAAAACCUAGUCUGCACACGGAUUGCAAAGAAGAUAUUUACAAAAAUAAUUUUUGGGGCUCACGCGAUAUUAAAAUUAGCAGCUAGGUACCUUUUUGGUUUAUUUCCCCCAAAAAAGCUUUGUUAUUAAACCAAUAGACAUUUCUCCACGGAUCCGGUUUCUAUUUAGAUGGCAAGCUUCCCAGAUUCUGUAAAUGAAAAUGAAAUAGGUAAGGCUAAGUUCAUCGGUGAACUCUUAGUGCCUGUUGCUCCCUUUGACCAGAAGUCUGGGCGAGAGACCUGGACUGUAGCCUUUGCACCUGAUGGUUCUUACUUCGCUUGGUCUCAAGGGCAUCGCAUCGUGAGGCUCGUUCCCUGGUCAAAAUGCCUGAAGAAUUUCGGUGGGGAAGGCUCCAACAGAGCAGGCACUCGGCGUUUGUCGCGGCAGAACAGCGAGGGUGGAACAGUGGUGCCAGUGGGCGAGCCCAGGGAGCACACCAUCGACUGCGGUGACAUUGUGUGGGGCCUGGCCUUCGGCUCAUCAGUGCCAGAGAAGCAGAGUCGCUGCGUCAACAUCGAGUGGCACCGUUUCAAGUUCGGUCAGGACCAGCUACUGCUUGCCACGGGCCUCAACAACGGACGCAUCAAGAUCUGGGACGUCUAUACUGGAAAGCUGUUGCUGAAUCUCAUGGACCAUACAGAUAUAGUGCGAGACCUGACAUUCGCCCCUGAUGGCAGCCUCAUGCUGGUAUCGGCAUCCAGAGACAAAACCCUGAGGGUCUGGGACCUGAAAGAUGACGGUAACAUGGUGAAAGUGUUGCGGAGUCAUCAGAACUGGGUCUAUUGCAGUGCAUUCUCACCAGACUCCUCAGUCCUCUGCUCUGUUGGAGCCGGUAAAUCGGUGGCAGGUGUGAGUGUUUUUGAAGGGAGGGAGCGCCGCGCUGACAUAAAGCAGCCGGUGCAGGCCGCUGGCUGGUGGCACCAGUGCCACUACUACUGCCGGGCUGGGACGCACUGUGCCCCUGCCCAGGGGGCAGCCUUGCACCUACCUGACCGCAAGGUCUCCCAUACUAUGUCUCUUCGUAGGCUUCCGCCGGAGGUGCGAGUCUAUUGUAAUCACAGUGAACUAAAACUCAAAGGGGAAACCAGUGGAGUAACAUUAUGUUACCUAAAGUUACUAGUUUUAUUUUCUCAUUUUUCUGACCUAAGUGUUAGUAUUAAGAAAACAUUGUAAUUAGAUAUUAAUAUGUUUAAAUGCUAGCCUAGGUCAUAGAAAUUACAAUUUAUAUGGAGCACAAUUUUAGCAGCUAUGUUAAGAAACCAGAUGUGCAGUGACAUGCAUUUUGUAACAACAUGGAAUUGCAUCGUUUGGUCUGUAGUUCAAGACAUAAGCCAUAAAAUGACACUGAGCAUACAAUGAUAUUUCUUGCUUAAUUUUUUCUUGGCUUAAUUUAAUUACUUGUAAUAUAGAUUCUGUCUGUUUUUACAUUUUAUGCUAGUAGCUUUUAAAUGCUUGUCCCUGCAUAGUGUUAUUUCGUGGGCUCUAACAUGGACCUCUUCCUUCUGUAGGUGUUCCUUUGGGAUAUGGAUAAAUAUUCCCUGAUCCGGAAGCUGGAGGGUCACCAUAACGACGUGGUGUCCUGUGAGUUCUCUCCCGACGGCGCCUUGCUCGCCACCGCCUCCUACGACACCCGUGUCAUCAUCUGGGACCCCCACAUGGGCACUGUGCUGCUUGAGCUAGCGCACCUCUUUCCCCCCCCCUCGCCCAUCUUUGCUGGAGGGGCCAACGAUCGCUGGGUACGCUCUGUAGCGUUCUGUCACGACGGGCGUCACAUUGCCAGCAUCACUGACGACCGAAUGGUGCGUUUCUGGACAAUUGAUGAGACGUCUCCCCAGGCCAUCGCCCCCCUCACUAACGGCCUCUGCUGUGCGUUCUCUACUGACGGGAGUUUCCUAGCAGCUGGGUCUCGAGACGGCAGCGUGCAUUUCUGGGCGUGCCCAAAGAGCAUUGCCAGCCUGCAGCACCUGUGUCGCAUGGCACUACGACGGGUCAUGUCCACCCAGCAGGUGCAGACGCUGCCCAUCCCGCCCCGCAUACGCUCCUACCUGUCUUACCAAGAUCUCUAGCCCUCCACAUUCACCCUCACUGCCCAACACCGCACGCUGGAAACCAAUGAAUAUUACCUUCCUAGUAAAAACACCCAGGAAAAAUACCAAACAUAACCGAAGAGGAAGAACUGUGACUAACUGUUCUGUGACAAGACACAUUUUGGGGUAUUUAUUUUUGUAGGUUUACUUCCGUGUGUGUGUGCCAUGGCCCCCCCCAGGGAGCGUGGUUGAAUGGUUAAGUUAUUUCAGUGGCCUGUCCCUCAGCGUAAGAUGGCCUUUACCAUAUGUCACCUCUGGAUAAUUCUACAUUAUUACUCCAAUAGACUUUUUUGCUGCUGAUAAUUGGCCUGGUGGUGGUGGAAUCAAUAUUGAUGUGCUGUCUCUCAACCUGUCUCAAACCAUGCAACUCCACUGACUUUACUGUAAGGACUACUAAGGUUGCACAAUUCUGUGAACUUUCAAUAAAUUCCCUGGUUAUCCCAAAAUCCAGUUUGGAGGAACUCUGGAAUCCGUAGGGAAUAAGGAGGAAAUCCGGAAUCCUCCAACCAGGAUUUUGCAACUCUACUAACGACUGAGUGAGAGGAUGGAGGGUUCGUCCCAACGCUGUGCAUUAUUUUCAGUGCUUCAGAGACUGGCAUGAAGGGUUGAGAACUGUGUAUGGCCACAUGUACAAGUGUGUGUAAGCCAGGGGAGUCAAACUCAUUUUGCCACAUGGGUCUUCGCCGAGGUCCGGAGGGCUGCAAGUACAAUUGAUUAUAUUUCCUCUGUCAGAAUGUGUUAAAAGUCCUCUUUCCAUCGCUUUUGGAAUUUUCGAUUCUCCUUGACUGUCUAGCUUUCAUUUCGAUUGCCUUUUAGAAAGCUGGACAGAGUGAGGUUACACCGUUUUGAUUUGGUUUUGGUCAUUUCAAUAUCAAUUGAGAUUGUUUUCCAUUUAAAGCCCAAAAAAUCAUAUAAAAGUUGAAAAUGGUUUAAGUGAAUGACUGCUGAUAAGAUUUGACCUUCUGCUGCAACGGGCUGCUGGAUCCCUCCCUUAGUUUUCUGCUACCCUAGAUCUCCUCAGAUCUUAACCCUUACUCCCUCGCUUGCCCAGGUGCUCAACGUGCUUUCCUUUCCACACAUCCUGCCUCACUCACGCCCAGGAGGGCAAAGACUGCCUGUAGCCUACACUGUCUCAUCUCCGUCUCAAAACAAUAGCAACCCAUGGUCUGACCUGUUUGGUUCUCAUUUUUUACCUGGGGGGGAUCUGUAUAGAGACAAUUGAUUGUGUGUGUGUGUGUGUACAGUGGCUUGUGAAAGUAUUUGCCCCCUUGGCAUUUUUCCUAUUUUGUUGCCUUACAACCUUGAAUUAAAAUGUAUUUUGGGGGGCUUUAUCAUUUGAUUUACACAACAUGCCUACCACUUUGAAGAUGCUAAAUGUGUUUUAUUGUGAAACAAACCAGCAAUAAGACAAACAGAACUUGAGCGUGCAUUACACCCCCAAAGUCAAUACUUUGUAGAGUCACCUUUUGCUGCAAUUACAGCUGCAAGUCUCUUGGGGUAGUUCUCUAUAAGCGUGGCACAUCUAGCCACUGGGAUUUUUGCCCAUUUUCAAGGCAAAACUGCUCAAGCUGCUUCAAGUUGGAUGGGUUCCACUGGUGUACAGCAACCUUUAAGUCAUACCACCAAUUCUCAAUUAGAUUGAGGUCUCUGACAAGGCCAUUCCAAGACAUUUAAAUGUUUCCUCUUAAACCACUGAAGUGUUGCUUAAGCCAUAUGCUUAGGGUCAUUGUUCUCCUGGAAGGUGAACCUCCGUCCCAGUCUCAAAUCUCUGGAAGACUGAAACCGGUUUCCCUCAAGAAUUCCCCUGUAUUUAGCGCCAUCUGUCAUUCCUUCAAUUCUGACCAGUUUCCCAGUUCCUGCCGAUGGAAAAACAUCCCCACAGCAUGAUGCUGCCACUACCAUGCUUCACUGUAGGGAUAAGGUUCUCGGGGUGAUGAGAGGUGUUGGGUUUGGGCCAGACAUAGCAUUUUCCUUGGUGGCCAAAAAGCUCAAUUUUAGUCUCAUCUGACCAGAGUUCCUUCUUCCAUUUAUGUUUAGGGAGUCUCCCCAUGCCUUUUGGCAAACACCAAACGUGUUUGCUUAUUUUUUUCUUCUUCAAGCAAUGGCUUUUUUUUCUGGACACUCUUCCGUAAAGCCCAGCUCGGUGGAGUGUACGGCUUAAAGUGGUCCUAAUGGACAGAUACUCCAAUCUCCGCUGUGGCGCUUUGCAGGGUCAUCUUUGGUUUCCUUGUUGCAUUUCUGAUUAAUGCUCUCCUUGCCUGGUCUGUGAGUUUGAGGGCGGCCCUCUCUUGGCAGGUUUGUUGUGUUGCCAUAUUUUUUUAUUUUUAUGGAAAGGAUUUAAUGGUGCUCUGUGGGAUGUUCAAAGUUUCUGAUAUUUUUUUAUAACCCAACCCUGAUCUGUACUUCUCCACAACUUUGUCCCUGACCUGUUUGGAGAGUUCCUUGGUCUUCAUGGAGCCACUUGCUUAGUGAUGUUGCAGACUGGGGCCUUUCAGAACAGGUGUAUGUGUACAUAUACAUUCAUGCAUCCAUCUGUUCUGAAAGGCCCCAGAGUCUGCAACACCACUUAGAUUGCACACAGGUGGACUUUUAUUGCACUAAUUGUGACUUCUGAAGGUAAUUGGUUGCACCAGAUCUUAUUUAGGUGCUUCAUAGCAAAGCGGGUGAAUACAUAUUAUCACACCACUUUCCUGUUUUUGAUUCUUUAGAAUUUUUUGAAGUAAUUUUUUAAAACUUCACCAAUUUCGACUAUUUUGUAUGUCCAUUACAUGACAUCCAAAUAAAAUCAAUUCAAAUUACAGGUUGUUAUGCAACAAAAUAGGAAAAAAGCCAGGGGGGAUGAAUACUUUUUGCAAGGCACUCUAUAUGCAGUACUAGUCAAAAUUUUGGACACCUCAUUCAAGGUUUUUCUUUUUAAUAUUUUCUACAUUGUAGAAUAAUAGUGAAGACAUCAACUAUGAAAUAACACACAUGGAAUCAUGUAGUAACAAAAUAAGUGUUAAACAAAUCAAACUAUAGUUAAUAUUUGAGAUUCUUCAAAUAUAGCUUUGCACAAUUGGCAUUCUCUCAACCAGCUUCACCUGGAAUGCUUUUCCAACAGUCUUGAAGGAGUUCCCACAUGCUGAGCAGUUGUUGGCUGCUUUUCCUUCACUCUGCGGUCCAACUCAUCCCAAACCAUCUCAAUUGGGUUGAGGUCGGGUGAUUGUGGUGGCCAGGUCAUCUGAUGCAGCACUCCAUCACUCUUGGUCAAAUUGCCCUUACACAGCCUGGAGGUGUGUUGGGUCAUUGUCCUGUUGAAAAACAAAUGACAAUCCCACUAAGUGCAUACAAGAUGGGAUGGCGUAUCGCUGCAGAAUGCUGUGGUAGCCAUGCUGGUUAAGUGUGCCUUGAAUUCUAAAUAAAUCACUGACAGUGUCAACAGACCAUCCCACCUCCUCCAUGCUUUAUGGUGGGAACUACAUAUGCGGAGAUCAUCCGUUCACCUACUCUGUGUCUCACAAAGAUACGGCGGUUGGAACCAAAAAGCUCAAAUUUGGACUCAUCAGACCUAAGGAUAGAUUUCCACCGGUCUAAUGUCCAUUGCUCAUGUUUCUUGGCCCAAGCAAGUAUCUUAUCGGUGUCCUUUUAGUGGUUUCUUUGCAGCAAUUUGACCAUAAAGGCCUGAUUCACGCAAUCUCCUCUGAACAGUUGAUGUUGAGAUGUGUCUGUUACUUGAACUCAGUGAGGCAUUUAUUUGGGCUACCAUUUCUGUGGCUGGUAAUGAACUUGGUAACUCUGGGUCUUCCUUUCCUGUGGCGGUCCUCAUGAGAGCCAGUUUCAUCAUAGCUCUUGAUGGUUUUUGCUACUGCACUUGAAGAAACUUUCAAGGUUCUUUUAAUUUUCCUGGAUUGACUGACCUUCAUGUCUUAAAGUAAUGAUGGACUGUCGUUUUCUCUUUGCUUAUUUGAGCUGUUAUUGCCAUAAUAUGGACUUGGUCUUUUACCAAAUAGGGCCAUCUUCUGUAUGCCACCCCUACCUUGUCACAACACAACUGAUUGGCUCAAACACAUUAAGAAGGAAAUUCCACAAAUGACCUUUUAACAAGGCACACCUGUUUAAUUGAAAAGGUGAAUACCUCAUGAAGCUGGUGGAGAGAAUGCCAAGAGUGUGCCAAGCUGGUUUCAAGGGUGGCUACUUUGAAGAAUCUCAAAACACUUAUUUGGUUGCUACAUGAUUCCAUAUGUGUUAUUUCAUAGUUUUGAUGUCUUCACUAUUAUUGUACAAUGUAGAAAAUAGUACAAAUAAAUUUAAAACCCUUGAAUGAGUAGGUGUAUCCAGACUAUUGACUGGCACUGUGUGUGUAUAUGAACAUAUCAGAGGAUGUAGUAUGCUUUUUACUUGUUUCUUUUUUAUUAUAACGUUACUGUUGUAAACAUUUUUUCCCUCUGUACAUUGUUUUCUCUCAUUUUAAUGUGAAGACCUGUAUAUGAAUUAAUGACAGUCUCUUAUUGUAGAGACCAGGGUGUAGUCUGCUCCUUCAGAAGUGGUAAAACGGAGAUGGUGAAUUUAUAGUGUGCCCUAGGACUUACAGAAAAAGCCUUAAAGGCGGUUGCCAUCUAUAUUAAUGACUGUCUGAAACCCAUGUUCAGUACAAACCUCUCUUUUCUCCUGUGCUAUGCUGCACAACUCUAAAGUGGAGUUCCUAAAUGUAAGAAAUAACCUAUAGGGGAGAGCAAUACAAGAUAAUCUUCUGAAAAUAAGUCAUCUUCACAGUUGCCAUCUGUAGCAUGGGAUCUUUAUUGAUUGUGACAAGCCUUUGAAGCCUUACUGUUAUAUGCAGGCAUUUGAUAGUAAAUAUUAAACUGGGCCAAAUGAAAAAGUAUUAAUGUUCUACUUUUGGUAUUUUGUCUAUGUUGACCUAGAUAGUGGAUACAGGCCUGCCGUUAAUCAAUCUUGGCAAUACGUUUUCUAAAGUCAAUGGUGAUGCCAAAGGUCUCUCUCGUUUUGUUGUCGUGUUCUUGUCAGUCUGACUUCUCUCACAUGGCUAAAACUUGAAACUCUUGUGCAUCUGUGAAUUUUAUUGAAUGUAUUCUGAUUUGAUUUCUCCUCUUAGUAAGGCUGUCUUCAGUAACCGGUUGGUGUGUUUAGUAAAGCCUUUGCUGAUAGAGCUAGAGGAGGUGAAUGAAUCAAAAGCUCUGGGUUCUCACCAGUGUUGGGGAGUAGUAAACUAGAUGUAGUUCAACUAGUAAUUUAACUACAUUUUGUAGUAGCUCGGCGCUAAUAUAAUUCAAAUCUAGGUAGUGUUUUCACUGGUGAAUAAAUGUUUUACCAUGUAGUGGUGUAGCUAACUACUGGAACUACACACUACUUUUUGUGCAAAAAGAAAAUAUGGAUGUUGUCUUUUUUUCGGCAUCAGACCUGCCUAAUUCUCUGUUUUUAAUAGGCUGUUAACCCCAAAGGGAUCUGUCUUGCAAUUUAUAGUCUUGACAUUUCAGAUUUACAUAUGAUAUAUUUAUCAAAGUAGUUUGAUGUCGAACUACUUUUUCAAAGUAACUAGUUAAGUAAACCUAUUUUUUUCGAAGGGUGACUUUUUAGUGUAGCUUAACUUGUUUCAGUGUGAAGUAAUUGGUAGCUUGGUAAACUAUCUUUUCAGAGUAGUGUCCCCAACACUAGUUCUAUUCCACUUUGGGAACACACUAUUCGACAAGUGUGUUCCCAAAAUGAUUGAAAGGGUUUUGGUAUCCUCCAACCAUUGCAAUGUUAAAGAAGCUCC